rnacentral:lncRNA from 1 species
GGCCAAAUUAUAAUACAUUUCUAUCGAAUUGCUACCAAUAUUUGAAGCAUCCGAAAUUAUUCAACAACAAAUAAAAACAUAUCUCAAGUCAAAUAUUAUAAAUACUUUCAUGAAUACAAAGUUAGUUAAAUACAUACUACACAAUACUUCAUUGUUCGUUGUCAUUGUACGCAUAUACAUACGACAAAAAAGAAAAAAGUAGAAUAUUAAGUGUCUUCAAACUCCUCCUUGGUCAAUGCCACUUGUGAAUGUUUAAGAACAUUGUCCCUGCUAUUAAGAAAAAAUAACACAUGAUUACUUUGACAAUCUCUUAAUUUAAUGAUGAUAGUAAAAGGGGUGAGCACACAUCAUUUAACUAUUUAUAUUAGCUAAUUAGCUAAUUAGGAAAAGAACCUUUGAUACCGAAAGGGCAAUAUAGGAAAAGCUACCAAUAUCAAAUAUAUUAACAAUUAGAAGUAGAUUCAUAGGCACCAGAAAUGUACACUAACUUUUAAGAGCAACUCUAGAAGUGAAACAGAGAUUAAAACAAUUCAAUUCAGCUUACUGGAGAAGUUUACAUUUUGUAAGCUGAUUAGAAAAAGAUAUAACUUUAUUCACCCCUUCCACAAUGCCAUCGUUCCAAGUCUUAAUGUCAGAUUUUUCUUUAACUACCAAAACCGACCAAGUAGAUUUUUUCUAUCCAUCAUGAAAAUCACCACAAUGAACAUAGACUUGAGACAGAAAACAGGCAAUAAAUCGAACACAUUCUGGGAAUCCAUAAAUUGUACAAAUUUGGCAAUAACAUACAGACCCAUCACUAGAUUUGUCAUCAUCGCAUCCAUUCCACAAUUUCAUACCAAAUUUCAUGUGCUCAUCCAAAUUAAAAAAUAAAAUCGACAUCAAACAUAAAGCUCAAGAGUAGAAGUUUCCAAGAAUCUUCAAAGAAAUCCGACUUCUCUAUUCAAUAAUACAAUAUUACCAGAUUUGAAAAGGAAAUCUAAACAAAAUAUGCAGUGUUAAACAUCAAGCUUCUGCGACAAAAGUCUCUUAACACGGUUUAAAAAUCAAAAUUAACACACACAUAAAUAAGGAUGAACGUUGAGAAAUAAAAUAGAAAGUGAGAAUACAAAGAAAAUAAAAGUUCUCCAAAUCGCGAACCUCAGAGGAAAUGAGGGAAAUACCUAAGUUCUAGGCGUAUCGAAGAUAUGCAAGUUCCUCUCCAAAGAUAAAUUGUUUGCUUCCAUCUUCAACUUUCAUCUCUCAACUCGGAAUCUUCUUCAACAGCCCCGAUCUGAGUUAUAUUGAGAGAAGGUGGGAUCUGAAUGACACUCACAACAACCAAUAAGAGUUUCAAGAGAAGGGGCAAAAGGGAUUUGGUAAAUAGAGGGUUUUAAAUGGCCAUUACAGCUCUAGGGUUUUGACAGAAAGAGGAGAAGGAUUUGGGUAAAUGGCCAUCUUCAACUUUUUUAAUUUACGACAAAGAAUCAGAGGCAACUCAAUCGCCUCAAUUGACCUUUUGUAGCAACUGUUGAUUGGCCGCUACAAAUGCUUCUUCAGCAAAAAUUUUAUUCUGGGAGGAAUUUAAAAAUUAAUGUAUAUUAGAAGCGACUUUAAUCAGUCGCCACUAAAAGUUUACUUUCUGUAACGACUACAGAUGUCGCUACUAUAGAUAUCACUAUUUGUGGCGACUUCUUCAAGUCGCAGCUAAAACCAUACUAAUAGUGUCAACUGAAGUGGUCGCUACUGAAAGUCGCUACAGAAAACCUAAUUUCUUGUAGUGAAAUAUUGUUUAUUUGGUCCUCCUUCCCACUUUUUAUGUCUUAUCAUAUUGAAGUUUUUAAGUAUAACUAAUUACAAAAAUCCCUCAUAUGCAUGACGUGACAAAAUAGACGCUAGAGACUGUCCAACGUCUGAGUUUUAGGCUUUUUUUCUACCGCAAGAGCAGUUAUAAGGUUUCAAAUGUCUCCAAUAUAUGAUCUAUUGCAACGGUUACCGUUGCAAAACAACUGUUGCCAUAGGUCCAAUUUCUGGUAGUGAGAUUUUGCUACUAUUGAAGGCUGAAGUCAUGUGUAAUGGGCAUUGAGCAACUUUUGAGCACAAAAUGAGUAUCUUUAAUCCUUUUAUGAGCUAUCUUCUCGAAAUUAGCAUUCACCUGAAUUUCAUGCUGAGGCUGCCAUAUACACUUAGUCUGCAAUUAAAAUAAAAGUUAGACGAAUGAUAGAAUCCAUGCCCGCUUGAGAAAUAGAAUUAUCUAAUUAAAUAUUUAGUAAUCUAACUGCAACAGACAACUUGGAAUGCAUUGCGCCUUCAUAAAGUGGAUAACUAGCUUCCUCUAACGGCAUGAAGAAGCUCUUAGCCUCAUCAUUUGGUUCGGAUUGUGUCAACAUCUCAAAAGCAUCCCUCAUUAUUUCAUUAAAUCUAGAAUUUUCAACAUUAAUAUUUCCCGUUAUGGGAAUACCUUCUUCACCACCAAAAUAGUUCUGAAAAUAAACAUUAUCUACACUAGCAUGACUCUUUCCAUGAACAGUCCACACAUAAUAAUUUUCAUUAAACCUCUUAUACAGAUGAAUAGUAACAAUAUCGGGACCCAAUAAAUUAACAUACUUGCAUUUCACACAAGGGCACCUAAUCCUCCCUUCAAUAAGUAAAUGAUCAAGUGUCUUUGCUUUAGCAGUAAAGCGAGCAACCCCUUCUAUAAAUUUAUCCUGCAACCCCGUACGAUUCAGAUGAUUCCUAUUAUACAUCCAUCUACGUUACCCAAAUUUCAUCUACACAAAAAUGUUAAAUAUUAUUUCAUUUAAAGGUUCUUAUUUUGAAUGGUUAAAAAGCAUUACGCAGUAAGUUAAUUUUUAAUCAUCCAAUUUAAAAGAAUUUAAUUUUAAAGGCUUCUAUUUGUAUAGGUAUAAAAGUAAAAAUAUUAGCUUAGUGUUACCUAUCCUCUUGUCAGAAAUCUCUUUUACUAAAGUGAUUGUGAUUCAUUAGAUCGUGCUUCAUCAAAUUUCAUCAACUAUUAUUUUUAUUACUAUCCUUUAUGAAUAUUUUUACUAAGAGGAAGAGAGAUAAAAGGAAAACUAAAAGUCUAUAAGGUUGCUCUCAAUCUUGAUUCCAACUACAACCGAUGAGUUUUAAAUUUAUAACCCAACUAAGCAACUUUCAGGUGUUCUAUUAGAACUACAAAAUAUUUAUGCGAAAUACAAAAUUUAAUUGUGCUAUGAAAAAUAUAUAAUUUUUAACACAACUAAUCAAUUUUAUGAUUUCAAAACAAAUAAAUCAUUAAAUAUACUAAGAGAAAUACAAAAUUGAAAAUCAAGCUAUUUUCUAUCAUAAAUUUCUAAAUACUUGAAUAAAUUUAAUAAAAAAUUUACUAACAUUGCAAUCGGACCACUACAACACCGCUACUAAGUGUAGACGAAGACAAUGUCGCCGGAGUCCACCGCCACCGCUGCUGCUGCCCGCUCUGUCCACCUACUAAAAUAAAUUGAAAAAAGGAAAAUGAGAAGAGGAGGAGAGGACGAGGGAUAGAGAGAAGGAGAGCAAGAUUUACAUUACCUUUGUCUUCAAUGGCACCUGCCGUGGAGGGUUCCACCGUGGGGCGAAGGAGCUGGGAGGAGGGGGAAAAAGAAAGAGUGAAAGAGACGAAAUAAGACAAUUUUGGAGGUAUUUUAAAAAGAUUUGCGACCGAUCGGUCGCAAAUAUUAAUUUAAUAUUUAAUUUUUUUGACCAAAAUAGCCGCACAGGUGGGUCAACGAAGUCAAAGGUGUCAUGUGGCAAUUAAUUAUAUUUUG